rnacentral:lncRNA from 7 species
CUUGGACUCCUUGCAUAUCGGUCAGUUUGCCGUCAGAACAAGGAGAAAAAAAGGUUCCGGUCUUCAUCCCUUCCAUUUCCAAAGGACGACGCUCUCACCAUUCACGAACGGCGACUGCGGAUCGAUCGUGCGUCGUCUCCUGCGCCGGCCUCCCUUCCAGUCAGGUUCAAACAAGGGACGAUACGCAUCGGACAAGAAAUGGACAUCAAAUCCUCCGAGAACUAAAGUUUCACUCAGAUCUUCGUCGACCUUUUGAGUUGCACAAUGUCUAUUUUGCAACAUAUGUAUAAUUAUAUAUGAUGACCUACUCAGCUCUUUGAAAACAAUUUAUGUAAAUAUAACAGCUUAAUUCUACGUAGUGGACAAAAAUGUUGACUCUGAUUACAGCUCAGAUAACUCUAUUUCAUAUAAACAUAUAGCAUCUGCAGUAAUUAAAUUAGAAAAAAUUUCUAACGCGCGCAGGGCGCGCGCCAGUGACUAGUAUUUGUUAGGUCCUCGCAGAUGCUAGCAAGAUGAUAGUGUUGUAGCAUGGAGGACCAUUGUCUCUAGUGUCUGAAAUACGAGACUGGCAUGCAGGUCGAUGUCUGAGCACAGAGCUCGGAAGAUGUGCGUAUCAACCAAUAGGCUGUGGCUGUGCCUGCAAGAUGCCCUGAAGGACGCGCUUCUUGAAAAGUCAGAACUGCAAAGCUUUGCUGCAUCUGAUCACAAUGAUCUCUCAGCUUGUUGUAACAUCGUCUUGACCAUUGUCCAUUGCGCUCAUAUCAGCUACAUACAUGGUUGAAAAACUUGUUAUAAAAAUGUGCCAUUUC